CAAAGGGCAAACCUGUCGAAAGUCGGGGUCGCAAAACCAAGGGUCUAACGUGUUUAUCACUAUGACAGCCGGUUGCUA
rnacentral:ncRNA from 1 species